rnacentral:rRNA from 1 species
ACUGACACUCAGAUUCGAAAGCAUGGGUAGCAAACAGGAUUAGAUACCCUGGUAGUCCAUGCCCUAAACGAUGGGUGCUUGUCGUUGGAAGUGUUAACCCUUUCAGUGACGGAGCUAACGCGUUAAGCACCCCGCCUGGGAAGUACGGUCGCAAGAUUAAAACUCAAAGAAAUUGACGGGGACCCGCACAAGCAGUGGAGCAUGUGGUUUAAUUCGACGCAACGCGAAGAACCUUAUCCUGGUCUUGACAUGUAUUUGACCGUUCUUGGAAACAAGGCUUUCCCUUCGGGGACAGAUACACAGGUGCUGCAUGGCUGUCGUCAGCUCGUGUCGUGAGAUGUUGGGUUAAGUCCCGCAACGAGCGCAACCCACUCCCUUUGUUGCCAUCAUUAAGUUGGGCACUCUAAGGGGACUGCCAGUGUCAAACUGGAGGAAGGUGUGGAUGACGUCAAGUCCUCAUGGCCCUUAUGACCAGGGCUACACACGUGCUACAAUGCUGAGUACAAAGGGUUGCCAAGUAGUGAUACGGAGCCAAUCCCAAAAAACUCAGCUCAGUUCGGAUUGAAGUCUGCAACUCGACUUCAUGAAGCUGGAAUUGCUAGUAAUCGCAGAUCAGCACGCUGCGGUGAAUACGUUCUCGGGUCUUGUACACACCGCCCGUCACACCACGAAAGUCGUUUGCACCAGAAGUCGCUGUGCUAACCGCAAGGAGGCAGGCGCCCAAGGUGUGAGUGAUGAUUGGGGUGAAGUCGUAACAAGGUAACCAAGGG